GUUUACAUUGGUGCCUAGUAAUACCUGUAGUGACAGGCACUCAGACAGCCACUAGAGGUACUUCCUAGUCCAGCGCUGCAGUGUGCAGCACUGGCAUUCAGUGACACUGAACAUUCCCCAUAGAGAUGCAUUGAUUAAAUGUAUCUCUACGAGGAGAUGCUGAUUGGCUCAGUGCUGUUUUUUUCUGCACAUGUGCAACAGGAUUAGGGAAAGCAUAUGGAUUGGCUGAGAUCAUCAAGAUAGUGUUGGGGUCAGCUGCAGCGAGACUAGCACAGUGAAAGGGGGGCUGAUCACCUAAACAGCCACAUGAGCACCAUAGUGUCAGCUUUACAUGUUCUUAUUCCUGACACUAUAGUGUUUCUUUAACCCCUUACCGACUGAUGUAUCAGGUACGUCCGACAAAAAAAUGUACCUGAUCUGUCCUUGGGUAAUUAGAGCUCUGGAAGCGAUCAAUGUUGAGGCAUCACUGUAAUACCCCCUCGCUGCCAGGGGCCACUGGAGACCACCAGGUGAUCUCCCCCCCUGGAGCAAUCACUUCCGGGUUGCUCCACGUAGAGCCCGGCAGUGAGACAGAGCAUCAGAAGCCUUCAGGCAGGCUUCUGAUGUUCAGUGUCUACUGAGUGCCUCG